GGGGUGGUGGCUUAUUCCUGAGCUCAGGGCCGAGGAUUAGGCAGAGAGCAGCCCCAGUACGAUGACAGCAUCCAGCACGUAGCCAAACCCCCCGCACUCCAACAUCACCAACAUCCUCUGGACGCCGCGGAUACCUUUUAUUCCCCACAAACCGACACCGUCUCCCCCGAAAUCCUCCGCAUCUUUCGGGGGGAUAAAAACCCCCUCAGACCGCCGCUCCGUCCGACUCCUCCUCAGACCACGAGGUGGCCGCACCAGAUCGGGAUUGGCCCUGAUGAUCACAAAGAACCCUCUCCACCUCCUUUCAGCCAAUCCUGGAGGGCCUACAGAGCUGAUGUCUCAGAGGACGCGAGGGUACGUGUGUUGUGGAGUCCUGAAGAGACAAGCUACAUCACGAGAAAGGCUAGCUGCUGCUGCCCACAGAGACUGUCAUUGGAGAUGACUGCCUGACUCGGCAAGGACAGUGAAGGUGAGAGAAAGAGAGGGGGAGAAAAUGAAAGGCCAAAGAGAG
ensembl:lncRNA